GAAAUGGACACAUAUUGCGAGCGAUCCGAUACAUACGAUCACCAAGAGUUGAGUUUGUGCAGCAGAAUGUCGUGGUCUACUGUGUCAAAGGCCUUAGCAAAAUCAAGGAAAAUAGCUCCAGUUAUGUCUCCUUGUUCCAUGCUAGUUUGGAUGUCAUUGCAAACUUUUAAGAGGGCAGUUGUAGUGGAGUGAUUCUGGCAAAAGCCCGAUUGAUCAAGGGUCAGAUAGUUUGAUUGUUGGUAGUACUCACAUAGUUGCGUAUGGUAUUUUUCUAAGAUUUUUGACAAUACCUGGAGCAAUGAUAUUGGGCGAUAGUUAGUAACCAAAGUAGUGUCACCACUUUUAUGGAUAGGCACUACUCUCGCAGUCUUCCAAGGUUUGGGUAUGUAUCCAGACACCAAGGAUUCGUUAAUUAGAGUUGCGACGGGUUUAGCAAUUGCCAGCGCACUGAGCUUCAACAGCAUUGCUGGGAUUUGAUCAGGUCCGGACUGGUUUUUCAUUUUUAGAUUAUUAAGAUGUUUUUCAAUGACACUAACUGGUACAGGUCUAAAAAUGAACUUUUCUAUAUUGGGACUUUGCAAAUUUAGUGUGGGCCUGAUCCACAUUUGUAGUUUCAGGAUGCGUGUCAUUUAUUAGCUUGGCAAUCAGGGCAGUAGAGCAUCCGACAAAAUAAUUGUUAAAGGGAUUUGCUACAUCUAAGGGAAGUUGCAG